UAGGGAAUCUUCCACAAUGGACGCAAGUCUGAUGGAGCAACGCCGCGUGAGUGAAGAAGGUUUUCGGAUCGUAAAGCUCUGUUGUUGGUGAAAAAGGAUAGAGGUAGUAACUGGCCUUUAUUUGACGGUAAUCAACCAGAAAGUCACGGCUAACUACGUGCCAGCAGCCGCGGUAAUACGUAGGUGGCAAGCGUUGUCCGGAUUUAUUGGGCGUAAAGCGAGCGCAGGCGGAAGAAUAAGUCUGAUGUGAAAGCCCUCGGCUUAACCGAGGAACUGCAUCGGAAACUGUUUUUCUUGAGUGCAGAAGAGGAGAGUGGAAUUCCAUGUGUAGCGGUGGAAUGCGUAGAUAUAUGGAAGAACACCAGUGGCGAAGGCGACUCUCUGGUCUGCAACUGACGCUGAGGCUCGAAAGCAUGGGUAGCGAACAGG
rnacentral:rRNA from 1 species